rnacentral:sRNA from 1 species
GUCGGCUCAUGGGUACGUCCUGUGAGCCGUUUUGUUUUGACUGAUCCGCGCAACGCAUUGUGUACCCGCCCCAUCCUUUCUAUUGCCUAAGGAGGCAAACAAUGUCCGAACGUAUCACCGGCACAGUCAAAUGGUUCAAUGGAAGCAAGGGCUACGGCUUCCUCGCUCGCGAAGGCGGCGCGGAUGUCUUCGUCCACUUCUCCGCCAUUCAGGGCGAGGGCUUCAAGAACCUGGAAGAAGGACAGAAGGUCGAGUUCGAGGUCGAGCAGGGUCCCAAGGGCCCGCAGGCCACCAACGUGACCGUCGUCCGCUAAUCUGAUCCAGCGCCAAACGAAAUCCCCGAGACAACCGUCCCGGGGAUUUUU